rnacentral:rRNA from 1 species
UACGAAGGGGGCUAGCGUUGCUCGGAAUUACUGGGCGUAAAGGGAGCGUAGGCGGACAGUUUAGUCAGAGGUGAAAGCCCAGGGCUCAACCCUGGAAUUGCCUUUGAUACUGAUUGUCUUGAGUAUGGGAGAGGUGAGUGGAACUCCGAGUGUAGAGGUGAAAUCCGUAGAUAUUCGGAAGAACACCAGUGGCGAAGGCGACGCUCUGGGCCGUGACUGACGCUGAGGAGCGAAAGCGUGGGUAGCAAACAGG